ACGAAAGUAGUAUAUUCUUUUGAAUUACAAAAUCGGACACGUUGAACAGGGAA
rnacentral:ncRNA from 1 species